rnacentral:rRNA from 1 species
GGUCUGAGAGGAUGAUCCGCCACACUGGGACUGAGACACGGCCCAGACUCCUACGGGAGGCAGCAGUGGGGAAUUUUGGACAAUGGGCGCAAGCCUGAUCCAGCCAUGCCGCGUGUCUGAAGAAGGCCUUCGGGUUGUAAAGGACUUUUGUCCGGGAGCAAAUCCCAGUGGUUAAUACCUACUGGGGCUGAGAGUACCGGAAGAAUAAGCACCGGCUAACUACGUGCCAGCAGCCGCGGUAAUACGUAGGGUGCAAGCGUUAAUCGGAAUUACUGGGCGUAAAGCGUGCGCAGGCGGUUGUGCAAGUCUGAUGUGAAAGCCCCGGGCUUAACCUGGGAACGGCAUUGGAAACUG